AAUGGGGAAACCCAGUGUGAUUCGUCACACUAUCAUUAACUGAAUCCAUAGGUUAAUGAGGCGAACCGGGGGAACUGAAACAUCUAAGUACCCCGAGGAAAAGAAAUCAACCGAGAUUCCCCCAGUAGCGGCGAGCGAACGGGGAGGAGCCCAGAGCCUGAAUCAGCAUGUGUGUUAGUGGAAGCGUCUGGAAAGGCGCGCGAUACAGGGUGACAGCCCCGUACACAAAAGCGCAUGUGCUGUGAGCUCGAUGAGUAGGGCGGGACACGUGGUAUCCUGUCUGAAUAUGGGGGGACCAUCCUCCAAGGCUAAAUACUCCUGACUGACCGAUAGUGAACCAGUACCGUGAGGGAAAGGCGAAAAGAACCCCGGCGAGGGGAGUGAAAAAGAACCUGAAACCGUGUACGUACAAGCAGUGGGAGCACCCUUCGGGGUGUGAC
rnacentral:rRNA from 1 species